GGGCCCGCACAAGCAGCGGAGCGUGUUGCUUAAUUCGAUGCAACGCGAAGAACCUUACCAACACUUGACAUGUUCGUCGCGACUCUAAGAGAUUAGAGUUUUCGGUUCGGCCGGACGAAACACAGGUGCUGCAUGGCUGUCGUCAGCUCGUGUCGUGAGAUGUUGGGUUAAGUCCCGCAACGAGCGCAACCCUCACUUUUAGUUGCCAUCAUUAAGUUGGGCACUCUGAAAGAACUGCCAGUGAUAAGCUGGAGGAAGGUGGGGAUGACGUCAAGUCCUCAUGGCCCUUACGUGUUGGGCUACACACGUGCUACAAUGGUAUCUACAACAGGAAGCAAGACUGCGAAGUUAAGCAAAUCCCUAAAAGAUACCUCAGUUCGGAUUGCACUCUGCAACUCGAGUGCAUGAAGCUGGAAUU
rnacentral:rRNA from 1 species